UUUGAGAAGCUCCGAUGCGAACUGAAGUGGAUCCUGCUAACCGGUUAUGUAUUUUUAAGAUCUGAAAUGAAGAAUUGAAAGUUUGCUGCUGUUGACUCCAAAAAGAUUCAUACCACUCAAGCAAGAUUAGGAACCUUAAAUAUACAAUGGCAGCCGAAGACUCACAAACGAUGAUUCUUCGGAUAGUUGAGAAAAACCAUGCACGCAAAUUAAAGCUCAGCUCACGGCCAGCCUCUGUUGAUGCACUGAUUAAGAUUAUAAAAGAACAAAUGGAAUUGGAUCUUCAGUUCACCUUACAAUAUGAAGAUCCAGACUUUGAUGGAAGACUU